rnacentral:rRNA from 1 species
AGCGAACGCUGGCGGCAGGCCUAACACAUGCAAGUCGAACGGACCCUUCGGGGGUUAGUGGCGGACGGGUGAGUAACACGUGGGAACGUGCCUUUAGGUUCGGAAUAGCUCCUGGAAACGGGUGGUAAUGCCGAAUGUGCCCUUCGGGGGAAAGAUUUAUCGCCUUUAGAGCGGCCCGCGUCUGAUUAGCUAGUUGGUGGGGUAAUGGCCCACCAAGGCUACGAUCAGUAGCUGGGCUGAGAGGAUGACCAUCCACAUUGGGACUGAGAAACGGCCCAAACUCAUACGGGAGGCAGCAGUGGGGAAUUUUGCGCAAUGGGCGAAAGCCUGACGCAGCCAUGCCGCGUGGAUGAUGAAGGUCUUAGGAUUGUAAAAUCCUUUCACCGGUGAAGAUAAUGACUGUAGCCGGAGAAGAAGCCCCGGCUAACUUCGUGCCAGCCGCCGCCGUAACAC